AACGAACGCUGGCGGCAGGCUUAACACAUGCAAGUCGAGCGCCCCGCAAGGGGAGCGGCAGACGGGUGAGUAACGCGUGGGAAUCUACCCAUCUCUACGGAAUAACGCAUGGAAACGUGUGCUAAUACCGUAUACGUCCUUCGGGAGUAAGAUUUAUCGGAGAUGGAUGAGCCCGCGUUGGAUUAGCUAGUUGGUGGGGUAAAGGCCUACCAAGGCGACGAUCCAUAGCUGGUCUGAGAGGAUGAUCAGCCACACUGGGACUGAGACACGGCCCAGACUCCUACGGGAGGCAGCAGUGGGGAACAUUGGACAAUGGGCGCAAGCCUGAUCCAGCCAUGCCGCGUGAGUGAUGAAGGCCCUAGGGUUGUAAAGCUCUUUCACCGGUGAAGAUAAUGACGGUAACCGGAGAAGAAGCCCCGGCUAACUUCGUGCCAGCCGCCGCGGUAACAC
rnacentral:rRNA from 1 species